UACGUAGGUGGCAAGCGUUGUCCGGAAUUAUUGGGCGUAAAGCGCGCGCAGGCGGCCUCUUAAGUCUGAUGUGAGAGCCCCCGGCUCAACCGGGGAGGGCCAUUGGAAACUGGGAGGCUUGAGUAUAGGAGAGAGGAGUGGAAUUCCACGUGUAGCGGUGAAAUGCGUAGAGAUGUGGAGGAACACCAGUGGCGAAGGCGGACUCUUUGGCCUAUAACUGACGCUGAGGCGCGAAAAGCGUGGGGGAGCAAACAGGGAU
rnacentral:rRNA from 1 species